CUGGAGGUAUCAGAAGUGCGAAUGCUGACAUAAGUAACGAUAAAGCGGGUGAAAAGCCCGCUCGCCGGAAGACCAAGGGUUCCUGUCCAACGUUAAUCGGGGCAGGGUGAGUCGACCCCUAAGGCGAGGCCGAAAGGCGUAGUCGAUGGGAAACGGGUUAAUAUUCCCGUACUUGGUGUUACUGCGAAGGGGGGACGGAGAAGGCUAUGUUGGCCGGGCGACGGUUGUCCCGGUUUAAGCGUGUAGGUGUGUGUUCCAGGUAAAUCCGGUUCACUUUAACACUGAGGCGUGACGACGAGGCACUACGGUGCUGAAGCAACAAAUGCCCUGCUUCCAGG
rnacentral:rRNA from 1 species